CACCACUCAAGCCUGGCUUGGUAUUGGACGUGGGGUAUCACGAGUUGCCCCUGUCCCAAUUGCACCGGCUGGACGACCCGAUUCUCAGCGUUGUGGCAACUAAUUCGCCGACGAGGAGGGUGGCCCGCGCCGUUAAACAUCAUCUCAGG
rnacentral:misc_RNA from 1 species